rnacentral:rRNA from 1 species
GAAUACUCGAAAGACCUGUCUCAGUUCGGAUUGGAGGCUGAAACCCGCCUCCAUGAAGUUGGAUUCGCUAGUAAUCGCGCAUCAGCCACGGCGCGGUGAAUACGUUCCCGGGCCUUGUACACACCGCCCGUCAAGCCAUGGAAGCCGGGAGUGCCUGAAGUGCGUGACCGCAAGGAGCGUCCUAAGGCAAUACCGGUGACUGGGGCUAAGUCGUAACAAGGUACC